UUUCUCAGAGGUUUCCUCUCUCAGCUUGGAGCCCCCUCCCUCUGUCUCUACAGCUUACGACAGGUUUAUUGGGACAAUGCCAUCAUAAAUCAAGAAGCAUCUGUAAGUCCACUGAAAUAAAACGCAAACCAGCAACUCAGAGAGGUUCAUUGACUUGCCGAAGGCCACAAAGCUGUUAAGUGUUCAAACAGAUGGCGUCAAACCAGAUCUUUAGCCUCAGGGACCAGAGCUCUGCAGCCUGGAGGGGACCUUCUGCAGCAUCAUUGCACAGAAGACAUCAAUCAAUCAGUCUUUCAGUGGCCUUACAUUUUUCUCCACUUGCAGGUUAUGGGUCACCAUUUUACAAAUUCCUCCAGGACAGAAAGAAACUGUUUCUCCUGCCUGUUCUUUCCCAGCCCAGGCUGUCACCGGGGAUCCAAAUGUCAGGCUUUAUGCAAGUUCUCGAUGUUGGAACCUCUCAUGAAAAGUGGAGUGAACAAGAGGGAAAGUGGGCAAACCUCAGGCCUCACAGCUUUAAUGCCACCGAUGCAUUUGGUGAGGGACCUGAUCUCUCUGCUUCCAAGACAGAGUCUUGUUGCUGUCUUCCGGAGGGGAGGAACCCCGUGUCCUCACGUGGCAGAAGAGCAUAAGAGAGCAAACCCACUCCUUCAAACUCGCCUUUUAGAGAUGGGGUCUCACUCUGUCACCCAGGCUAGAGCGAGCAUAGUGGUAUGAUCCUAGCUCAUUGCAGCCUCAAACUCCUGGGCACAAGCCAUCCUCCUGCCUCAGCUUUCUGAGUAGCUGGGACUACAAGUAUGUGCCACAGUGCCCAGCUAAUUUUUUAAUUAUUUUUUGUAAAGACAGGGUCUUGCUUUGUUGCCCAGGCUGGUCUAGAACUCCUGGGCUCAAGCAAUCCUCCCCCCUCAGACUCUCAAACUGCUGGGAUUACACUGUGAGCUAACACUCCUGGCCUGCAAACACUUUUUAUAAUGAGUGUCAU
rnacentral:lncRNA from 1 species